AUACGGAGGGUGCGAGCGUUACUCGGAAUCACUGGGCGUAAAGCGCGCGCAGGCGGUCUUUUAAGUUGGAUGUGAAAGCCUACGGCUCAACCGUAGAACUGCAUCCAAAACUAUUAGACUAGAGUGUGGGUGAGGAAGAUGGAAUUAGUUGUGUAGGGGUAAAAUCCGUAGAGAUAACUAGGAAUACCAAAAGCGAAGGCAAUCUUCUGGAACACUACUGACGCUGAGGCGCGAAAGCGUGGGGAGCAAACAGGAUUAGAUACCCUAGUAGUCC
rnacentral:rRNA from 1 species